UACGUAGGUGGCAAGCGUUGUCCGGAUUUAUUGGGUUUAAAGGGUGCGUAGGCGGCCUAUUAAGUCAGUGCUGAAAUAUCCCGGCUUAACCGGGAGGGUGGCAUUGAUACUGAUGGGCUUGAGUAAAGUUGAGGUAGGCGGAAUUGACGGUGUAGCGGUGAAACGCUUAGAUAUCGUCAAGAACACCUAUUGCGAAGGCAGCUUACUAAGCUUUAACUGACGCUGAUGCACGAAAGUGUGGGGAUCAAACAGG
rnacentral:rRNA from 1 species